rnacentral:rRNA from 1 species
UACAAAGGGGGCUAGCGUUGUUCGGAUUUACUGGGCGUAAAGCGCACGUAGGCGGAUCUUUAAGUCAGAGGUGAAAUCCCAAGGCUCAACCUUGGAACUGCCUUUGAUACUGGGGAUCUUGAGUCCGGGAGAGGUGAGUGGAACUGCGAGUGUAGAGGUGAAAUUCGUAGAUAUUCGCAAGAACACCAGUGGCGAAGGCGGCUCACUGGCCCGGUACUGACGCUGAGGUGCGAAAGCGUGGGAGCAACAGG